rnacentral:rRNA from 1 species
UAGGGGAAUCUUCCACAAUGGACGCAAGUCUGAUGGAGCAACGCCGCGUGAGUGAAGAAGGGUUUCGGCUCGUAAAGCUCUGUUGUUAAAGAAGAACGUGGGUAAGAGUAACUGUUUACCCAGUGACGGUAUUUAACCAGAAAGCCACGGCUAACUACGUGCCAG